rnacentral:rRNA from 1 species
AGAGUUUGAUCAUGGCUCAGGACGAACGCUGGCGGCGUGCUUAACACAUGCAAGUCGAACGAUGAUGCCCAGCUUGCUGGGUGGAUUAGUGGCGAACGGGUGAGUAACACGUGAGUAACCUGCCCUUGACUUCGGGAUAACUCCGGGAAACCGGGGCUAAUACCGGAUAUGAGCUACCUUCGCAUGGGGGUGGUUGGAAAGUUUUUCGGUCAGGGAUGGGCUCGCGGCCUAUCAGCUUGUUGGUGGGGUGAUGGCCUACCAAGGCGACGACGGGUAGCCGGCCUGAGAGGGCGACCGGCCACACUGGGACUGAGACACGGCCCAGACUCCUACGGGAGGCAGCAGUGGGGAAUAUUGCACAAUGGGCGAAAGCCUGAUGCAGCGACGCCGCGUGAGGGAUGAAGGCCUUCGGGUUGUAAACCUCUUUCAGCAGGGAAGAAGCGCAAGCGACGGUACCUGCAGAAGAAGCGCCGGCUAACUACGUGCCAGCAGCCGCGGUAAUACGUAGGGCGCAAGCGUUGUCCGGAAUUAUUGGGCGUAAAGAGCUCGUAGGCGGUCUGUCGCGUCUGGUGUGAAAACUCGAGGAUCAACCUCGAGCUUGCAUCGGGUACGGGCAGACUAGAGUGCGGUAGGGGAGACUGGAAUUCCUGGUGUAGCGGCGGAAUGCGCAGAUAUCAGGAGGAACACCGAUGGCGAAGGCAGGUCUCUGGGCCGCAACUGACGCUGAGGAGCGAAAGCAUGGGGAGCGAACAGGAUUAGAUACCCUGGUAGUCCAUGCCGU